UGGCGCCGGGGGCGAUCCGCAGCCCCGGCGGCGCAGCCUGCGCGGGAGGGGCGGGGGCUCCGUCCCGGCCUGUUGUGGGGCCGAGCGCGGGCGGGAGCGAGGGUGUCUGAGUCAGAGCUGCAUGCUCGGAGGAAUAAACGCCAAAACUCCCUCCUCGGCCGCUCUCACACCCCCGACCUCCAGCUGCUUCCUCACGACCGUCGAUGCUGUCAGCAUACGUGUUCUUUAUGAAUCUCUAACAGCACAUUUUCGGCCUAAACUGCGCGAAAAGCCGGGCAGACCCGCCGGAUCUCACACACGCAGAAGAACUACCUGAGGGGAGGGGAAGAGGGGAGCGAGAAAGGAGCGGGAAUUUUUGCAGAUCUGCUCAGGAGGUUUUGACUGAAACUUUCAGUAAGACACUCGAGGCUGAGAAUCUUCCCCGAAGCGCUUAAGACUCAAAGGCAAGUGGGAGAAAGCUUCUUUCCUUAGAGCGAGUGCGAGAGCACUCGCUGAAGGCACUUCUGUUCUGCAGGGAAUGAGACAAGCAGCGAACGAGCCUCGUUUGCCCGUUAGGGAACAGCGCUCGGGGAGUAGGAAUGGCGCGCUUCUGUCCAGACCAGCGGGCGCUGCCAGUGCCAGGAGCUCGCUCAGCCUUUCAGGGCAGACACAGCUCCGGCCAUUCGUAAGCAGCCCCUCUUCCUAACCACCGUAUGUCCUCCCAGCUCCCGCUGCACCCCUACUCCGCCCUGCCUCCCCUGCCCGGCUUCAGCCCCUCCAGCGAUACGGCUGAUGGAGGGAGGGGAGGCGGCGGCUGGGGUUUCGUUCGACGCCCACCAGGGGCUGAGCGAGCCUUCUUCAGUGCGCAAACUCGGGGCACCAGAUAAAAGCUGGGCUGGCAGCUCUUGCCCUGCCUCGAUGGAGCCGCCACUUUCGGGUGACUGGAGAAGCAGUUAGCAGCAGCGCCAUAGACUAGCGUCCCCCCACACCUUGGGCACAGAGAGUUUGGGGCUCUAAACAGCUGCUGCUGCGGCAGGAGGGAGUCGAGGUGAAGGGAUCUGCUAGCUGGUUGGACGCAGAGGAGGCGGCUGUAAUGGGGCAUUAAGUCUGAGGGAGGAGGGGGGGCGAUUAAACCUCUUGUGAUCAUGGCGGAGUCUAUGGGUAUUUUUUUUUUCCUGUCUAACUCUUCUGUGCGUGUGUCUCUUUGUUUCUUUCUCUCUCUCUCUCCUUAGGGCGCUUGGCUGGGGCUGCUCGCUCGGGUUCUGCCUGUUGUUGCGCGAAAUGGCGGCUGGCGUCUUGCAGGGGCAGCCGCAGCUGGGCAGGGUCGGGAGCUGCCGGGGGAGGCAAAGGGAGAAAACGGGCGCCAUGAUCUCAGCGCUCGGGAAGACUCCGCGGGCAGGGCGUCCCCGAAGAGCUGGCGAAAAGAAGCAGGACCGGGCCUGGGCUUCUCUUUCUCGAAUAGUGCCGGGGCUGUGCUGAGAGGAGCGGGAAACGAGCGAGAGGGGAGCAACUCAUGCCUGCCUUUGUAACUGCGUCAGUACAAGAUGGCGCAGGGUGUCCCUGGAGAGGGAAGGGAGUUGCACGUCCGCCGGAGGUCAUGUGACCGCGUUGCAUUCCUGUGGGGUUUGGCUGCGGACCAAGCUGGCUUAGGCGGCAGCGGCGGCUGCCCGGGAGAGCCCGGGCUUCCCUCCCCCUCCUCCUGCACAACGUCGUCGGUCCCGCGCUGGUUCCCUUCCCCCAUCAGCCUCAUGCACGAGGGUGUAGCUGCUGCCGAGGAAGGUUCUCGCUUCUCUCUUUAUUCUCCACCCACCUCCAGGGUGUAGCUCCUCUUGGGGGAAGCUUUCCAUUCCGCCCCCUCUCUGCUGCGCAAGGCUUUACCCACCGCCAGGGAAAGCUCCCCGUGGGUGCCUGCUGGCUCAGCCUGAGCGUGGGAGCCGUGUGCGCUCACGGUAGUGCCGCCCGCUCGGUGCGAAGGCACUCUGCUCUAAGUUAAGUUGCAGGGGUUUAUGGAGUGGUUCUUACUGGAACAGUCGUUUUAAGUGAUGUCUAAAUGACCUCAUUAAAAGCGCUGAGGAAAACGUA